rnacentral:rRNA from 1 species
AUGUUGGGUGCGCUCGCAUGGCAGGCCGCCACCAUAAUAAAGAUGUUUUUUUUGUCUCGGGGGGAGAUCGCACGGGGGUUAUCUUGUUUUAGCCCCGGGUUCUCCCCCCUGUGUGCUGGUGUGCUCCUUUUGUCUGCACCUCUCGUCCGAUCCGACUACAUGGCACAACAAUUCUACCGUCGCGAAUCGAUCAUGGAGCUACAGACGAAAGAACAAAGGUGGACACAUCUUUCUCGUUGGAGCUUGAAGAGACGUGAGAGCUCUAUGAUUCUGGAGAAAUCUGCCGAACACAUCUUACCUCAGGGAAUACCCGCUGGGAGGCUGGUUUACAUGUACUUGCUUACUAAUCUGGAUAAUCAUUUAUUAGAGCGCUAUUUUAAUCAGUUUCGCUACAUAUUAUGGUGA